rnacentral:rRNA from 1 species
UACGUAGGUGGCGAGCGUUGUCCGGAUUUACUGGGCGUAAAGAGCGCGCAGGCGGUCGUUCAAGUCGAGUGUGAAAGCCCCCGGCUCAACUGGGGAGGGUCACUCGAUACUGAUCGACUUGAAGGCAGGAGAGGGAAGCGGAAUUCCCGGUGUAGUGGUGAAAUGCGUAGAUAUCGGGAGGAACACCAGUGGCGAAGGCGGCUUCCUGGCCUGUUCUUGACGCUGAGGCGCGAAAGCCAGGGGAGCAAACGGG